CCUACGGGUGGCUGCAGUGAGGAAUAUUGGUCAAUGGUCGUAAGGCUGAACCAGCCAAGCCGCGUGAAGGAAGAAGGUACUAUGGUUUGUAAACUUCUUUUGUAGGGGAAUAAAGGUAUGCACGCGUGGACAUUUGCAUGUACCCGAUGAAUAAGCAUCGGCUAACUCCGUGCCAGCAGCCGCGGUAAUACGGAGGAUGCGAGCGUUAUCCGGAUUUAUUGGGUUUAAAGGGUGCGGAGGUGGUUUUUUAAGUCAGCGGUGAAAGUUUGUGGCUCAACCAUAAAAUGGCCGUUGAAACUGGAAGACUUGAGUGUGUUUGAGGUAGGCGGAAUGCGUGGUGUAGCGGUGAAAUGCAUAGAUAUCACGCAGAACUCCGAUUGCGAAGGCAGCUUACUAAGCCAUAACUGACACUGAAGCACGAAAGCGUGGGGAUCAAACAGGAUUAGAUACCCGGGUAGUC
rnacentral:rRNA from 1 species